rnacentral:rRNA from 1 species
AGAGUGAACGCUGGCGGUAGGCCUAACACAUGCAAGUCGAACGGCAGCACAGUGGUAGCAAUACCAUGGGUGGCGAGUGGCGGACGGGUGAGGAAUACAUCGGAAUCUACCUUUUCGUGGGGGAUAACGUAGGGAAACUUACGCUAAUACCGCAUACGCCCUUCGGGGGAAAGCCGGGGAUCGCAAGACCUGGCGCGGAUAGAUGAGCCGAUGUCGGAUUAGCUAGUUGGUGAGGUAAUGGCUCACCAAGGCGACGAUCCGUAGCUGGUCUGAGAGGAUGAUCAGCCACACUGGAACUGAGACACGGUCCAGACUCCUACGGGAGCAGCAGUGGGGAAUA